UACGAAGGGGGCUAGCGUUGCUCGGAAUCACUGGGCGUAAAGCGCACGUAGGCGGAUUGUUAAGUCAGGGGUGAAAUCCUGGAGCUCAACUCCAGAACUGCCUUUGAUACUGGCGAUCUCGAGUCCGGGAGAGGUGAGUGGAACUGCGAGUGUAGAGGUGAAAUUCGUAGAUAUUCGCAAGAACACCAGUGGCGAAGGCGGCUACCUGGACCAGCACUGACACUGAGGCACGAAAGCGUGGGGAGCAAACAGG
rnacentral:rRNA from 1 species